UUCAUUAGCAGCCACAUUGUCAAAUACUUUGAUUGAAGGGGAAUGACUGCAGAGGUUGUGUAGUAUAUUGAUGUCAUUUUUGUGAAGGCUCAGGUCAUGUUUUUCCAGUCCUACUCAUUUGUUAUCUGGAACAACAUAAUAGGUCAGGGUUUAGAAAGAAAGCCCAGAAAGGGAUUUCAUUUUUGGACCUGGUCCUAGUCAUAUGGGUGUUGAUUCAAGCAGUGGCAUGUGUUUCCUCAAUUUGUUAAGGUUGGCUCCCAUGGCCCAAAGACAAUAAGUGCUAGAGACAAGUCCUGAUGGAGAACUUUGAGUAUACUGGAGAUAUCUUUAUUUUAAAUAAGGGUUUACAUCAUGCUGAUUGUAAAUUAUUUUUUAAAAAUCUUGGAUUGUGUGUAGACUGUUAGGGCUGCACAAUUAUUUGAAUACUUAUUGCAAUCACGAUUUUGCAUAAUUAAAUGAACAUGACUUUCUGCAAUAUCUGCAUUUUUAAAUGCACGCUCCACUCACAGAAAACUGUCUGAUAUCAAAUCAAACACCUAAAAUACAACACCUAAAAUAACGGCUGCCCUGCUGCCGCGUGUUCACCUUGCUGUGGCAGUUCAGAGUAGAAGAGGAACAACAGGGAGCAGGCAGGCAAAAUGAAAAUCAAGUGUCUGGAGCAGAAGGCAAAAAGCUAGUCCUUUAAAACAGAUCAUCUGCUGUUCUGAAGCAUCGCGAGGUCAAACAAGAGCAAAUCAAAGCAAUGCAACGAGUGUGUGAAACUUCUGAAUCUGCGCUGCUAAGCAACACAAUUAACCUGUUCAACCACCCAAAAAAUGGCCCAAACUGCAGUACGUAUGAAUGCACGAAGGCCAAAAGGAAUAACAGCACCAGCGUUACCUCGGUCAACCUCCAUCUUCGUCCAGCAUCAAGAGCGUCGUUUUACAGCAUGUCACCGUAUCCAUCCAGCUUCCAAAGUCAGACUGACAUAAGCAGUGCAGUUGCAUUUCAUUUGGCCAGAGGAAUCGGCCUGUGCUAUAAUCAGGACUCUGUGGGGAAAGCAGACGGUCCCCUGUCAUUGGGCAAGGCGGUGUCCAAUCAUGGCACCAAGUCUUAAUCUGACAGGGGAAGAGAAACUCAAGACCAUAUUCAUCCCAGUCAUCUCUGAUUCAGUGAGCAAUAGGCUGGUUCAUGCUGUGGUCACAGUAACUGCAGUGUUAAUCUAUAACAGAACUGCCCUACAGGUAUUUUAAUUUGAGCCACUUUUCUUUGGCCAUUUCCGAAAAGGUGGUCAUGAUGCUCAUGUGGAUAAACAUCUUUGGUGUUAAGUGUUGAGUGACGUCUUUUUAUAACAAAUAAACACCCUCAUCACUCUUCACAG